GUGCAGCAGUCGAGAAAACUUUACAAUGCGAGCAAUCGUGAUAAGGAAACCCUGAGUGCCUGUCAAUGCAGGCUGUUCUGGUGUCUAACACACACCAGGAGAAAGGGCGGGGCAAGACCGGUGCCAGCCGCCGCGGUAAUACCGGCUGCUCGAGUGAUAGCCACUUUUACUGGGCUUAAAGCGUUCGUAGCUUGGUCGUUAAGUCUCUGGGGAAAUCUUUUGGCUCAACCAAAAGGCGUCUCAGGGAAACUGACGAUCUUGGAACCGGGAGAGGUAAGACGUACUUCGGGGGUAGGAGUGAAAUCUUGUAAUCCCCGAGGGACGACCGAUGGCGAAGGCAUCUUACCAGAACGGCUUCGACAGUGAGGGACGAAAGCUGGGGGAGCAAACCGGAUUAGAUACCCGGGUAGUCC
rnacentral:rRNA from 1 species